GCCGACUUAGCUCAGCGGGUAGGGCAACUGACUUGUAACCAUCAGGCCAUCAGUUCGAUUCCGGUAGUCGGCACCA
rnacentral:tRNA from 1 species